UUGGGGCUAGGGUUUGGUUUAAGGUUUUUGGCGUUAGGGUUAAAAUAACUGUCCAAUAUUUUUAAAGGAACAUGUUUCAGACCUUUGGGAGUUAGUUAGACAAAGAAAAAAGAAAAAGAAAAAAUAUAUAUUUGGGGUGUUCGGGUUUCCUGAAGGUAAUACCCGGGUAUUAGGUUAUGGGGCUAGGGUAAGGUUUAAGGUUUUUGGCGUUAGAGUUAAAAUCAGUGUCCAAAACCUUUUUAGGAACAUGUUUAAGACCGUUUAGAGUUGGUUACACCAAAAAAAAAAGUAAAAUGAUAAAAAAAUAUUUGGGGUGUUCGGGCUUCCUUAAGGUAAUACCGGGGUAUUAGGUUUUGGGGCUAGGGUAAGGUUUAAGGUUUUUGGUGUUAGGGUUAAAAUCACUGUCCAAAACCUUUUAAGGAACAUGUUUCAGACCUUUUGGAGUAGGUUACACCAAAAAAAAAUGUAAAAUGAAAAGAAAAUAUUUGGGGUGUUCAAGCUUCCUGAAGGUAAUACCCGGGUAUUAGGUUUUGGGGCUAUAGUAAGGUUUAAGGUUUUUGGCGUUAGGGUUAAAAUCACUGUCCAAAACCUUUGUAGGAACUAUUUUCCAACCUUUUGGAGUUAGUUAGACCAAAAAAAAAAAGAAAAAUGAAAAAAAUAUAUUUGGGGUCUUCGGGCUUCCUGAAGGAAAUACCCAGGUAUUAGGUUAUGGGGCUAGGGUAAGGUUUAAGGUUUUUGGCGUAAGGGUAAAAAUCACUGUCCAAAACCUUUGUAGGAACAUGUUUCAGACCUUUUGGAGUUGGUUACACCAAAAAAAAUGUAAAAUGAAAAAGAAUUUUUUUUGGGUGUUCGGGCUUCCUGAAGGUAAUACUAGGUUUCUGGGCUAGGGUAAUGUUUUAGGUUUUUGGCGUUAGGGUUAAAAUCAAUGUCCAAAACCUUUGUAGGAACUCUUUUCCAACCUUUGAGAGCAAGUUAGACCAAAACAAAAAGAAAAAUAAAAAAUAUAUAUUUGGGGUGUUCGGGCUUCCUGAAGGUAAUACCCGGGUAUUAGGUUAUGGGGCUAGGGUAAGGUUUAAGGUUUUUCGGCGUGAGGGUAAAAAUCACUGUCCAAAACCUUUGUAGGAACUCUUUUCCAACCUUUGGGAAUAAGUUCGACAAAAAAAAUAAGAUAAAUGAAAAAAAUAUAUUUGGGGUGUUCCGGCUUCCUGAUGUUAAUACCCGGGUAUUAGGUUUUGGGGCUAGGGUUAGGUUUAAGGUUUUUGGCGUUAGGGUUAAAAUAACUGUCCAAUAUUUUUUAAGGAACAUGAUUCAGACCUUUGGGAGUUAGACAAAAAAAAAAGAAAAAGAAAAAAAUAUAUAUUUGGGGUGUUCGGGUUUCCUGAAGGUAAUACCCGGGUAUUAGGCUUUGGGGCUAGGGUAAGGUUUAAGGUUUUUGGUUUUAGGGUUAAAUUCACUGUCCAAAACCUUUGUAGGAACUCUUUUCCAACCUUUUGGAGUUAGUUAGACCAAAAAAAAAAAAAAAAAAAAAAAUAUUUGGGGUGUUCAGGCCUCCUGAAGGAAAUACCCAGGUAUUAGGUUAUGGGGCUAGGGUUAGGUUUAAGGUUUUUGGCAUUAGGGUUAAAAUCACUGUCCAAUAUUUUUUAAGGAACAUCUUUCAGACCUCUGGUAGUUAGUUAGACAAAAAAAAAAGAAAAAAAAAAAAAAAAUUGGGGUGUUCGGGCUUCCUGAAGGUAAUACCCGGGUAUUAGGUUUUGGGGCUAGGAUUAGGUUUAAGGUUUUUGGCGUUAGGGUUAAAAUCACCGUCCAAAACCUUUGUAGGAACUCUUUUCCGACCUUUUGGAGUUAGUUAGACCAAAAAAAAAAAAAAAAAAAAAUAUAUUUGGGGUGUUCGGGCUUCCUGAAGGAAAUACCCGGGUAUUAGGUUUUGGGGCUAGGGUUAGGUUGAAGGUUUUUGGCGUGAGGGUUAAAAUAACUGUCCAAUAUUUUUUAAGGAACAUGUUUCAGACCUUUGGGAGUUAGUUAGACAAAAAAAAAAAAGAAAAAGAAAAAAAAUAUUUGGGGUGUUCGGGUUUCCUGAAGGUAAUAUUAGGUAGGUAUUAGGAUAUGGGGCUAGGGUAAGGUUUAAGGUUUUUGGCGUUAGAGUUAAAAUCAGUGUCCAAAACCUUUUUGGGAACAUGUUUAAGACCUUUUGGAGUUGGUUACACCAAAAAAAAUGUAAAAUGAAAAGAAAAUAUUUGGGGUGUUCAAGCUUCCUGAAGGUAAUACCCGGGUAUUAGGUUAUGGGGCUAUAGUAAGGUUUAAGGUUUUUGGCGUUAGGGUUAAAAUAACUGUCCAAUAUUUUUUAAGGAACAUGUUUCAGACCUUUGGGAGUUAGUUAGACAAAAAAAAAAGAAAAAGAAAAAAAUAUAUAUUUGGGGUGUUCGGGUUUCCUGAAGGUAAUACCCGGGUAUUAGGUUAUGGGGCUAGGGUAAGGUUAAAGGUUUUUGGUGUUAGAGUUAAAAUCAGUGUCCAAAACCUUUUUAGGAACAUGUUUAAGACCUUUUAGAGUUGGUUACACCAAAAAAAAUGUAAAAUGAAAAAAAAAUAUUUGGGGUGUUCAAGCUUCCUGAAGGUAAUACCCGGGUAUUAGGUUAUGGGGCUAUAGUAAGGUUUAAGGUUUUUGGCGUUAGGGUUAAAAUCACUGUCCAAAACCUUUUUAGGAACAUGUUUCAGACCUUUUGGAGUUGGUUACACCAAAAAAAAUGUAAAAUGAAAAAGAAUUUUUUUUGGGUGUUCGGGCUUCCUGAAGGUAAUACUAGGUUUCUGGGCUAGGGUAAUGUUUUAGGUUUUUGGCGUUAGGGUUAAAAUCAAUGUCCAAAACCUUUGUAGGAACUCUUUUCCAACCUUUGAGAGCAAGUUAGACCAAAACAAAAAGAAAAAUAAAAAAUAUAUAUUUGGGGUGUUCGGGCUUCCUGAAGGUAAUACCCGGGUAUUAGGUUAUGGGGCUAGGGUAAGGUUUAAGGUUUUUCGGCGUGAGGGUAAAAAUCACUGUCCAAAACCUUUGUAGGAACUCUUUUCCAACCUUUGGGAAUAAGUUCGACAAAAAAAAUAAGAUAAAUGAAAAAAAUAUAUUUGGGGUGUUCCGGCUUCCUGAUGUUAAUACCCGGGUAUUAGGUUUUGGGGCUAGGGUUAGGUUUAAGGUUUUUGGCGUUAGGGUUAAAAUAACUGUCCAAUAUUUUUUAAGGAACAUGAUUCAGACCUUUGGGAGUUAGACAAAAAAAAAAGAAAAAGAAAAAAAUAUAUAUUUGGGGUGUUCGGGUUUCCUGAAGGUAAUACCCGGGUAUUAGGCUUUGGGGCUAGGGUAAGGUUUAAGGUUUUUGGUUUUAGGGUUAAAUUCACUGUCCAAAACCUUUGUAGGAACUCUUUUCCAACCUUUUGGAGUUAGUUAGACCAAAAAAAAAGAAAAAAGAAAAAAAAAUAUUUGGGGUGUUCAGGCCUCCUGAAGGAAAUACCCAGGUAUUAGGUUAUGGGGCUAGGGUUAGGUUUAAGGUUUUUGGCAUUAGGGUUAAAAUCACUGUCCAAUAUUUUUUAAGGAACAUCUUUCAGACCUCUGGUAGUUAGUUAGACAAAAAAAAAAAGAAAAAGAAAAAAAAAAUUGGGGUGUUCGGGCUUCCUGAAGGUAAUACCCGGGUAUUAGGUUUUGGGGCUAGGAUUAGGUUUAAGGUUUUUGGCGUUAGGGUUAAAAUCACCGUCCAAAACCUUUGUAGGAACUCUUUUCCGACCUUUUGGAGUUAGUUAGACCAAAAAAAAAAAAAAUGAAAAAAAUAUAUUUGGGGUGUUCGGGCUUCCUGAAGGAAAUACCCGGGUAUUAGGUUUUGGGGCUAGGGUUAGGUUGAAGGUUUUUGGCGUGAGGGUUAAAAUAACUGUCCAAUAUUUUUUAAGGAACAUGUUUCAGACCUUUGGGAGUUAGUUAGACAAAAAAAAAAAAGAAAAAGAAAAAAAAAUAUUUGGGGUGUUCGGGUUUCCUGAAGGUAAUAUUAGGUAGGUAUUAGGAUAUGGGGCUAGGGUAAGGUUUAAGGUUUUUGGCGUUAGAGUUAAAAUCAGUGUCCAAAACCUUUUUGGGAACAUGUUUAAGACCUUUUGGAGUUGGUUACACCAAAAAAAAUGUAAAAUGAAAAGAAAAUAUUUGGGGUGUUCAAGCUUCCUGAAGGUAAUACCCGGGUAUUAGGUUAUGGGGCUAUAGUAAGGUUUAAGGUUUUUGGCGUUAGGGUUAAAAUAACUGUCCAAUAUUUUUUAAGGAACAUGUUUCAGACCUUUGGGAGUUAGUUAGACAAAAAAAAAAGAAAAAGAAAAAAAUAUAUAUUUGGGGUGUUCGGGUUUCCUGAAGGUAAUACCCGGGUAUUAGGUUAUGGGGCUAGGGUAAGGUUAAAGGUUUUUGGUGUUAGAGUUAAAAUCAGUGUCCAAAACCUUUUUAGGAACAUGUUUAAGACCUUUUAGAGUUGGUUACACCAAAAAAAAUGUAAAAUGAAAAAAAAAUAUUUGGGGUGUUCGGGCUUACUGAAGGUAAUACCCGGGUAUUAGGUUUUGGGGCUAGGGUAAGGUUUAAGGUUUUUGGUGUUAGGGUUUAAAUCACUGUCCAAAACCUUUGUAGGAACUCUUUUCCAACCUUUUGGAGUUAGUUAGACAAAAAAAAAUGUAAAAUGAAAAAAAUAUAUUUGGGGUGUUCAAGCUUCCUGAAGGUAAUACCCGGGUAUUAGGUUUUGGGGCUAGGGUAAGGUUUAAGGUUAUUGGUGUUAGGGUUAAAAUCACUGUCCAAAACCUUUUUAGGAACAUGUUUCAGACCUUUUGGAGUAGGUUACACCAAAAAAAAAUGUAAAAUGAAAAGAAAAUAUUUGGGGUGUUCAAGCUUCCUGAAGGUAAUACCCGGGUAUUAGGUUAUGGGGCUAUAGUAAGGUUUAAGGUUUUUGGCGUUAGGGUUAAAAUCACUGUCCAAAACCUUUGUAGGAACUAUUUUCCAGACCUUUGGGAGUUAGUUAGACCAAAAAAAAACGAAAAAUGAAAAAAAAUAUUUGGGGUGUUCGGGCUUCCAUAAGGUAAUACCAAGGUAUUAGGUUAUGGGGCUAGGGUAAGAUUUAAGGUUUUUGGCGUAAGGGUUAAAAUCACUGUCCAAAACCUUUUAAGGAACAUGUUUCAGACCUUUUGGAGUUGGUUACGCCAAAAAAAAUGUAAAAUGAAAAAGAAUUUUUUUUGGGUGUUCGGGCAUCCUGAAGGUAAUACUAGAUUUCUGGGCUAGGGUAAUGUUUAAGGUUUUUGGCGUUAGGGUUAAAAUCAAUGUCCAAAACCUUUGUAGGAACUCUUUUCCAACCUUUGAGAGCAAGUUAGACCAAAACAAAAAGAAAAAUAAAAAAUAUAUAUUUGGGGUGUUCGGGCUUCCUGAAGGUAAUACCCGGGUAUUAGGUUAUGGGGCUAGGGUAAGGUUUAAGGUUUUUCGGCGUGAGGGUAAAAAUCACUGUCCAAAACCUUUGUAGGAACUCUUUUCCAACCUUUGGGAAUAAGUUAGACAAAAAAAAUAAAAUAAAUGAAAAAAAAAUAUUUGGGGUGUUCGGGCUUCCUGAAGGUAAUACACGGGUAUUAGGUUUUGGGGCUAGGGUUAGGUUUAAGGUUUUUGGCGUUAGGGUUAAAAUAACUGUCCAAUAUUUUUUAAGGAACAUGUUUCAGACCUUUGGGAGUUAGUUAGACAAAAAAAAAGAAAAAGAAAAAAAUAUAUAUUUGGGGUGUUCGGGUUUCCUGAAGGUAAUACCCGGGUAUUAGGUUAUGGGGCUAGGGUAAGGUUUAAGGUUUUUGGUGUUAGAGUUAAAAUCAGUGUCCAAAACCUUUUUAGGAACAUGUUUAAGACCUUUUAGAGUUGGUUACACCAAAAAAAAAUGUAAAAUGAAAAAAAAAUAUUUGGGGUGUUCGGGCUUACUGAAGGUAAUACCCGGGUAUUAGGUUUUGGGGCUAGGGUAAGGUUUAAGGUUUUUGGUGUUAGGGUUUAAAUCACUGUCCAAAACCUUUGUAGGAACUCUUUUCCAACCUUUUGGAGUUAGUUAGACAAAAAAAAAUGUAAAAUGAAAAAAAUAUAUUUGGGGUGUUCAAGCUUCCUGAAGGUAAUACCCGGGUAUUAGGUUUUGGGGCUAGGGUAAGGUUUAAGGUUUUUGGUGUUAGGGUUAAAAUCACUGUCCAAAACCUUUUUAGGAACAUGUUUCAGACCUUUUGGAGUAGGUUACACCAAAAAAAAAUGUAAAAUGAAAAGAAAAUAUUUGGGGUGUUCAAGCUUCCUGAAGGUAAUACCCGGGUAUUAGGUUUUGGGGCUAGGAUUAGGUUUAAGGUUUUUGGCGUUAGGGUUAAAUUCACCGUCCAAAACCUUUUGCAGGAACUCUUUUCCGACCUUUUGGAGUUAGUUAGACCAAAAAAAAAAAAAAAUGAAAAAAAUAUAUUUGGGGUGUUCGGGCUUCCUGAAGGAAAUACCCGGGUAUUAGGUUUUGGGGCUAGGGUUAGGUUUAAGGUUUUUGGCGUUAGGGUUAAAAUAACUGUCCAAUAUUUUUUAAGGAACAUGUUUCAGAUCUUUGGGAGUUAGUUAGACAAAAAAAAAAGAAAAAGAAAAAAAAAAUAUUUGGGGUGUUCGGGUUUCCUGAAGGUAAUAUUAGGUAGGUAUUAGGUUAUGGGGCUAGGGUAAGGUUUAAGGUUUUUGGCGUUAGAGUUAAAAUCAGUGUCCAAAACCUUUUUAGGAACAUGUUUAAGACCUUUUGGAGUUGGUUACACCAAAAAAAAUGUAAAAUGAAAAAAAAAAAUAUUUGGGGUGUUCGGGCUUCCUGAAGGUAAUACCCGUAUAUUAGGUUUUGGAGCUAGGGUAAGGUUUAAGGUUUUUGGUGUUAGGGUUAAAAUCACUGUCCAAAACCUUUGUAGGAACUCUUUUCCAACCUUUUGGUGUUAAUUAGACCAAAAAAAAAAGAAAAAAGAAAAAAAUAUAUUUGGGGUCUUCGGGCUUCCUGAAGGAAAUACCCAGGUAUUAGGUUAUGGGGCUAGGGUAAGGUUUAAGGUUUUUGGCGUUAGGGUUAAAAUCAAUGUCCAAAACCUUUUUAGGAACACGUUUCAGACCUUUUGGAGUUAGUUAGACCAAAAAAAAAUGUAAAAUUAAAAAAAAUUUUUGGGGUGUUCAAGCUUCCUGAAGGUAAUGCCCGAGUAUUAGAUUAUGUGGCUAUAGUAAGGUUUAAGGUUUUUGGGGUUAGGGUUAAAAUCACUGUCCAAAACCUUUUUAGGAACAUGUUUCAGACCUUUUGGAGUAGGUUACACCAAAAAAAAAUGUAAAAUGAAAAGAAAAUAUUUGGGGUGUUCAAGCUUCCUGAAGGUAAUACCCGGGUAUUAGGUUAUGGGGCUAUAGUAAGGUUUAAGGUUUUUGGCGUUAGGGUUAAAAUCACUGUCCAAAACCUUUGUAGGAACUAUUUUCCAACCUUUUGGAGUUAGUUAGACCAAAAAAAAAACGAAAAAUGAAAAAAAAUAUUUGGGGUUUUCGGGCUUACUGAAGGUAAUACCCGGGUAUUAGGUUUUUGGGCUAGGGUUAGGUUUAAGGUUUUUGGCGUUAGGGUUAAAAUCACUGUCCAACAUUUUUUAAGGAACAUCUUUCAGACCUCUGGGAGUUAGUUAGACAAAAAAAAAAGAAAAAGAAAAAAAAAAUUGGGGUGUUCGGGCUUCCUGAAGGUAAUACCCGGGUAUUAGGUUUUGGGGCUAGGAUUAGGUUUAAGUUUUUUGGCGUUAGGGUUAAAAUCACCGUCCAAAACCUUUGUAGGAACUCUUUUCCGACCUUUUGGAGUUGGUUACACCAAAAGAAAUGUAAAAUGAAAAAAAUAUAUUUGGGGUGUUCGGGCUUCCUGAAGGAAAUACCCGGGUAUUAGGUUUUGGGGCUAGGGUUAGGUUUAAGGUUUUUGGCGUUAGGGUUAAAAUAACUGUCCAAUAUUUUUUAAGGAACAUGUUUCAGACCUUUGGGAGUUAGUUAGACAAAAAAAAAAGAAAAAGAAAAAAAUAUAUUUGGGGUCUUUGGGCUUCCUGAAGGAAAUACCCAGGUAUUAGGUUAUGGGGCUAGGGUAAGGUGUAAGGUUUUUUGCGUUAGGGUUAAAAUCACUGUCCAAAACCUUUUUAGGAACAUGUUUCAGACCUUUUGGAGUUGGUAACACCAAAAAAAAAUGUAAAAUGAAAAAAAAAUAUUUGGGGUGUUCAAGCUUCCUGAAGGUAAUACCCGGGUAUUAGGUUUUGGGGCUAGGGUAAGGUUUAAGGUUUUUGGUGUUAGGGUUUAAAUCACUGUCCAAAACCUUUGUAGGAAGUCUUUUCCAACCUUUUGGAGUUAGUUAGACAAAAAAAAAAAGAUAAAUGAAAAAAAAAUAUUUGGGGUGUUCGGGCUUCCUGAAGGUAAUACCCGGGUAUUAGGUUAUGGGGCUAGGGUAAGGUUUAAGGUUUUUGGCGUUAGGGUUAAAAUAACUGUCCAAAACCUUUUUAGGAACAUGUUUCAGACCUUUUGGAGUUGGUUACACCAAAAAAAAUGUAAAAUGAAAAAAAAAAUUUUUUGGGUGUUCGGGCUUCCUGAAGGUAAUACUUUGUAUUACCUUUGUAGGAAGUCUUUUCCAACCUUUUGGAGUUAGUCUUUUGUAGGAAGUCUUUUCCAACCUUUUGGAGUUAGUUAGACAAAAAAAAAAAGAUAAAUGAAAAAAAAAUAUUUGGGGUGUUCGGGCUUCCUGAAGGUAAUACCCGGGUAUUAGGUUAUGGGGCUAGGGUAAGGUUUAAGGUUUUUGGCGUAAGGGUUAAAAUCACUGUCCAAAACCUUUUUAGGAACAUGUUUCAGACCUUUUGGAGUUGGUUACACCAAAAAAAAUGUAAAAUGAAAAAAAAAAUUUUUUGGGUGUUCGGGCUUCCUGAAGGUAAUACUAGGUUAUGGGGCUAGGGUAAUGUUUAAGGUUUUUGGUGUUAGGGUUAAAAUCAAUGUCCAAAACCUUUGUAGGAACUCUUUUUCAACCUUUGAGAGCAAGUUAGACAAAAACAAAAAGAAAAAUAAAAAAUAUAUAUUUGGGGUGUUCGGGCUUCCUGAAGGUAAUACCCGGGUAUUAGGUUUUGGGGCUAGGGUUAGGUUUAAGGUUUUUGGCGUUAGGGUUAAAAUAACUGUCCAAUAUUUUUUAAGGAACAUGUUUCAGACCUUUGGGAGUUAGUUAGACAAAAAAAAAGAAAAAGAAAAAAAUAUAUAUUUGGGGUGUUCGGGUUUCCUGAAGGUAAUACCCGGGUAUUAGGUUAUGGGGCUAGGGUAAGGUUUAAGGUUUUUGGUGUUAGAGUUAAAAUCAGUGUCCAAAACCUUUUUAGGAACAUGUUUAAGACCUUUUAGAGUUGGUUACACCAAAAAAAAAUGUAAAAUGAAAAAAAAAUAUUUGGGGUGUUCGGGCUUACUGAAGGUAAUACCCGGGUAUUAGGUUUUGGGGCUAGGGUAAGGUUUAAGGUUUUUGGUGUUAGGGUUUAAAUCACUGUCCAAAACCUUUGUAGGAACUCUUUUCCAACCUUUUGGAGUUAGUUAGACAAAAAAAAAUGUAAAAUGAAAAAAAUAUAUUUGGGGUGUUCAAGCUUCCUGAAGGUAAUACCCGGGUAUUAGGUUUUGGGGCUAGGGUAAGGUUUAAGGUUUUUGGUGUUAGGGUUAAAAUCACUGUCCAAAACCUUUUUAGGAACAUGUUUCAGACCUUUUGGAGUAGGUUACACCAAAAAAAAAUGUAAAAUGAAAAGAAAAUAUUUGGGGUGUUCAAGCUUCCUGAAGGUAAUACCCGGGUAUUAGGUUUUGGGGCUAGGAUUAGGUUUAAGGUUUUUGGCGUUAGGGUUAAAUUCACCGUCCAAAACCUUUUGCAGGAACUCUUUUCCGACCUUUUGGAGUUAGUUAGACCAAAAAAAAAAAAAAAUGAAAAAAAUAUAUUUGGGGUGUUCGGGCUUCCUGAAGGAAAUACCCGGGUAUUAGGUUUUGGGGCUAUGGUUAGGUUUAAGGUUUUUGGCGUUAGGGUUAAAAUAACUGUCCAAUAUUUUUUAAGGAACAUGUUUCAGAUCUUUGGGAGUUAGUUAGACAAAAAAAAAAGAAAAAGAAAAAAAAAAUAUUUGGGGUGUUCGGGUUUCCUGAAGGUAAUAUUAGGUAGGUAUUAGGUUAUGGGGCUAGGGUAAGGUUUAAGGUUUUUGGCGUUAGAGUUAAAAUCAGUGUCCAAAACCUUUUUAGGAACAUGUUUAAGACCUUUUGGAGUUGGUUACACCAAAAAAAAUGUAAAAUGAAAAAAAAAAAUAUUUGGGGUGUUCGGGCUUCCUGAAGGUAAUACCCGUAUAUUAGGUUUUGGAGCUAGGGUAAGGUUUAAGGUUUUUGGUGUUAGGGUUAAAAUCACUGUCCAAAACCUUUGUAGGAACUCUUUUCCAACCUUUUGGUGUUAGUUAGACCAAAAAAAAAGGAAAAAGGAAAAAAUAUAUUUGGGGUCUUCGGGCUUCCUGAAGGAAAUACCCAGGUAUUAGGUUAUGGGGCUAGGGUAAGGUUUAAGGUUUUUGGCGUUAGGGUUAAAAUCAAUGUCCAAAACCUUUUUAGGAACACGUUUCAGACCUUUUGGAGUUAGUUAGACCAAAAAAAAAUGUAAAAUUAAAAAAAAUUUUUGGGGUGUUCAAGCUUCCUGAAGGUAAUGCCCGAGUAUUAGAUUAUGUGGCUAUAGUAAGGUUUAAGGUUUUUGGGGUUAGGGUUAAAAUCACUGUCCAAAACCUUUUUAGGAACAUGUUUCAGACCUUUUGGAGUAGGUUACACCAAAAAAAAAUGUAAAAUGAAAAGAAAAUAUUUGGGGUGUUCAAGCUUCCUGAAGGUAAUACCCGGGUAUUAGGUUAUGGGGCUAUAGUAAGGUUUAAGGUUUUUGGCGUUAGGGUUAAAAUCACUGUCCAAAACCUUUGUAGGAACUAUUUUCCAACCUUUUGGAGUUAGUUAGACCAAAAAAAAAACGAAAAAUGAAAAAAAAUAUUUGGGGUUUUCGGGCUUACUGAAGGUAAUACCCGGGUAUUAGGUUUUUGGGCUAGGGUUAGGUUUAAGGUUUUUGGCGUUAGGGUUAAAAUCACUGUCCAACAUUUUUUAAGGAACAUCUUUCAGACCUCUGGGAGUUAGUUAGACAAAAAAAAAAGAAAAAGAAAAAAAAAUUUGGGGUGUUCGGGCUUCCUGAAGGUAAUACCCGGGUAUUAGGUUUUGGGGCUAGGAUUAGGUUUAAGUUUUUUGGCGUUAGGGUUAAAAUCACCGUCCAAAACCUUUGUAGGAACUCUUUUCCGACCUUUUGGAGUUGGUUACACCAAAAGAAAUGUAAAAUGAAAAAAAUAUAUUUGGGGUGUUCGGGCUUCCUGAAGGAAAUACCCGGGUAUUAGGUUUUGGGGCUAGGGUUAGGUUUAAGGUUUUUGGCGUUAGGGUUAAAAUAACUGUCCAAUAUUUUUUAAGGAACAUGUUUCAGACCUUUGGGAGUUAGUUAGACAAAAAAAAAAGAAAAAGAAAAAAAUAUAUUUGGGGUCUUUGGGCUUCCUGAAGGAAAUACCCAGGUAUUAGGUUAUGGGGCUAGGGUAAGGUGUAAGGUUUUUUGCGUUAGGGUUAAAAUCACUGUCCAAAACCUUUUUAGGAACAUGUUUCAGACCUUUUGGAGUUGGUAACACCAAAAAAAAAUGUAAAAUGAAAAAAAAAUAUUUGGGGUGUUCAAGCUUCCUGAAGGUAAUACCCGGGUAUUAGGUUUUGGGGCUAGGGUAAGGUUUAAGGUUUUUGGUGUUAGGGUUUAAAUCACUGUCCAAA